UUAAAUUGAAGAGUUUGAUCAUGGCUCAGAUUGAACGCUGGCGGCAGGCCUAACACAUGCAAGUCGAACGGUAACAGGAAACAGCUUGCUGUUUCGCUGACGAGUGGCGGACGGGUGAGUAAUGUCUGGGAAACUGCCUGAUGGAGGGGGAUAACUACUGGAAACGGUAGCUAAUACCGCAUAACGUCGCAAGACCAAAGAGGGGGACCUUCGGGCCUCUUGCCAUCGGAUGUGCCCAGAUGGGAUUAGCUAGUAGGUGGGGUAACGGCUCACCUAGGCGACGAUCCCUAGCUGGUCUGAGAGGAUGACCAGCCACACUGGAACUGAGACACGGUCCAGACUCCUACGGGAGGCAGCAGUGGGGAAUAUUGCACAAUGGGCGCAAGCCUGAUGCAGCCAUGCCGCGUGUAUGAAGAAGGCCUCGGGUUGUAAAGUACUUUCAGCGGGGAGGAAGGGAGUAAAGUUAAUACCUUUGCUCAUUGACGUUACCCGCAGAAGAAGCACCGGCUAACUCCGUGCCAGCAGCCGCGGUAAUACGGAGGGUGCAAGCGUUAAUCGGAAUUACUGGGCGUAAAGCGCACGCAGGCGGUUUGUUAAGUCAGAUGUGAAAUCCCCGGGCUCAACCUGGGAACUGCAUCUGAUACUGGCAAGCUUGAGUCUCGUAGAGGGGGGUAGAAUUCCAGGUGUAGCGGUGAAAUGCGUAGAGAUCUGGAGGAAUACCGGUGGCGAAGGCGGCCCCCUGGACGAAGACUGACGCUCAGGUGCGAAAGCGUGGGGAGCAAACAGGAUUAGAUACCCUGGUAGUCCACGCCGUAAACGAUGUCGACUUGGAGGUUGUGCCCUUGAGGCGUGGCUUCCGGAGCUAACGCGUUAAGUCGACCGCCUGGGGAGUACGGCCGCAAGGUUAAAACUCAAAUGAAUUGACGGGGGCCCGCACAAGCGGUGGAGCAUGUGGUUUAAUUCGAUGCAACGCGAAGAACCUUACCUGGUCUUGACAUCCACGGAAGUUUUCAGAGAUGAGAAUGUGCCUUCGGGAACCGUGAGACAGGUGCUGCAUGGCUGUCGUCAGCUCGUGUUGUGAAAUGUUGGGUUAAGUCCCGCAACGAGCGCAACCCUUAUCCUUUGUUGCCAGCGGUCCGGCCGGGAACUCAAAGGAGACUGCCAGUGAUAAACUGGAGGAAGGUGGGGAUGACGUCAAGUCAUCAUGGCCCUUACGACCAGGGCUACACACGUGCUACAAUGGCGCAUACAAAGAGAAGCGACCUCGCGAGAGCAAGCGGACCUCAUAAAGUGCGUCGUAGUCCGGAUUGGAGUCUGCAACUCGACUCCAUGAAGUCGGAAUCGCUAGUAAUCGUGGAUCAGAAUGCCACGGUGAAUACGUUCCCGGGCCUUGUACACACCGCCCGUCACACCAUGGGAGUGGGUUGCAAAAGAAGUAGGUAGCUUAACCUUCGGGAGGGCGCUUACCACUUUGUGAUUCAUGACUGGGGUGAAGUCGUAACAAGGUAACCGUAGGGGAACCUGCGGUUGGAUCACCUCCUUACCUUAAAGAAGC
rnacentral:rRNA from 2 species